UACGAAGGGGGCUAGCGUCGCUCGGAAUGACUGGGCGUAAAAGGCGCGUAGGCGGCUUAUACAGUCAGGCGUGAAAUUCCUGGGCUCAACCUGGGGACUGCGUCUGAUACGUAUGGGCUUGAGUGUGAAAGAGGGUCGUGGAAUUUCCAGUGUAGAGGUGAAAUUCGUAGAUAUUGGAAAGAACACCGGUGGCGAAGGCGGCGACCUGGUUCAUUACUGACGCUGAGGCGCGAAAGCGUGGGGAGCAAACAGGAUUAGAUACCCUGGUAGUCCACGCUGUAAACGAAGUGUGCUGGAUGUUGGGGUGCUUAGCACUUCAGUGUCGUAGCUAACGCGGUAAGCACACCGCCUGGGGAGUACGGCCGCAAGGUUGAAACUCAA
rnacentral:rRNA from 1 species